rnacentral:lncRNA from 1 species
AUAAUGCCAUUACACUGUAGAGAAGGUAGCAGAUUGAGUGCAAGGUGUGACAAACUUGAUGGAUGGGGCUCACUUUCCAGACGUUAUUCUGGAGCAUAUGGUAGGAAGCUGGAGUGCAGGGACAGCUGGCAGGAGCAGUUGGCCAAUCAGCAGCUAGUGAACGGGAAGGGAGCACGUGACUCCAUCAUCUAGCCUUUCCACGAGAGUCCCCACCCUACGUGCAACACAAGAAAAAGACAAUUCACAUUCUGAAGAAUUCAGAUUCUGAAACUCUCCCACCUCCCCACUCCCACCUACCCCCGAUAUAAAUCACUGGACUGUUUGUACGUGAAACAGAAGAGGCUAAGCUUCCUUUUUUUACACUUAUGAGACAAAAAGUGCAGUGUUUGGUUCGUAUGUUUAGCACAUGAUUUUCAUAAAGAAUCUAUAUAUUUUUGCCCUACAGAGAAUUGUUAUACAGGUCAAGUGUGUUUUCCUGAUGUUCCUAUGCAGUUACAGUAUGUUGAAAGUGUUUUAACACUAAGAAGAAAACUUUAAAGAUUCAUGUGAUUAAUUGGAUUUGAGGAUAAUUAUUAUUAUUUGGUUUUUAGAUUUGAAAAGUAGAAUUUCCAUUGAGACAAUUGAUUUGAAUAGGCCUGCAUUUGAUUCUUCAUAUCAAUAGAAACUAAAAUGAUUUGGGAGAUUCAUUUGAAAAAUGAUUGUAUACUUGUUCACAAAGCGAAAAGUGAUACAUGAAGGUAAUGGUUAUCAUUUAAAGCCCACAUUUUACACUAUCAGGUCACAGGAGUCUAAUUUUUUUUUCAGUUAGAUAAACUGACCAAACGUCUAUUCAAGAAUAUAUGUCAAUAUCAUCCUAAUGUGGAAGGUCCGAAGAACCAGAAAAGUGAGAAGGGCCGUUUACCUCCCUCUGUAGCUAUCACCUGUUGGUCCACAGAGUUUCUUGAGAAAUGAGCAAACAUUUUAUGAUUAGGUAACCCUUUCACAUGAACGGGAAGAUGGGAAAGGUGGAAUGACCAUAAGAGUUGGCCUGAGACCAGUUUGUUUUCUGGGGAUUUGGUAAGAUAGGCAGUUCCCAUGGGAAAUUGCUUAAAUUGCUUUGUUGCCUAUGAUUUGAUUCUAAACAAGUGGUGCUAUCUUCUCCCUCAAUAUGGCUGUCUUGAGUUUGUCUUGCAGUAUCACACCAUUAUACCAAUUCUUUGGGUUGCUUCUGACACAUUCAAAGUGAACUCUGGCUGAUGUUGCUGUUUCAGGUAUACCAUCUGGAGUUAAUUUCCUAGCAGAAGGUGAAAGUCCAGGAGAAUUGUCCUCUUUCAUUGAACAUGAUUGAAAAUGUAACUGGCUCUGAACUUCAAGAAGAUAGAUGCCCAAGUGAUGCAUUAAAGUAAGGGAAAUAAAGUCAAGUUUUUCAACUGCCAUCCAUAUUCUCAUUGGCAGAAUUCUGAUUUUUUUCCAAGCACUGUUUGGUGAGCCUGGAAGCACCGUAUCCUGUCCCAGGAGUACAGUGAAAUUUCCAAGCAAGAGCUGAGGUGCCAAUACCAAAAGACCAUGGGGAGUCUGCACGGUUCUGGUUAGAUCAAUAGAAAAUCCAUGUGUACAACUGUUAAUUCCUCAUCCUCCACUAGCACUAAAUUUGUCACUUUAAAUUUUGAAACCAGGGAAACACCACCUGUCAUUCUGUCCCCAUUCUCCAUAGCUCUUCAAUCUUUACAUGCCGCAAGACUUUUUUGAUAGCUCGUACUCAUCCCAGUGUCUCCUGAAACCCCAUCAUGUAAUGUACUGGGCACCUUCUUUUAAACAAAUGUUUACUCUGUGGGUUUGGUUCAUUUCAAUUUCUGCGUUCUGACACAUAUUUUUUUAAUAAAGAUGAGAAAGAGAAAAUGACUGUUGCAGUACCUUUCUAGACCUACUUUAACUUUACCUCAGAUGACAGUUUGUUAACAUAUAUGGACACAUUAUUUUUAACUUUAUGUACAAUGCAUUCAACAGAACAGCAAAAUUUUUAGAAAUUUUCCAUUAAUUUCUGUAACACACCAUGUAAAACUGUUACAAAUAAACAUGUUUGAGAACAAC